AGUCCCCCUCACUGUUACCCAAGAUGGCGGCUUAUAUUGGCAUAGUAUACGCUGAUAGCAACCAACCUCCAACGAAUCGCCGCAGCAAUAGAGGACUAUGUUUAUUAUUCUGAAGAUGACCUCAGAGAUGAAAAAAGUUGUGGAGCAUAAGAAAAGGAAAGGUUUCCAAGAAGCGAGAGAGGAUAAUAAAAAAGUGUAGAGCUUUUGUCAGGCUUAUAGAAUAUAAUAUAUUAUCAGAAAAUAUAAGUGGAAGCUGUU